rnacentral:rRNA from 3 species
UGAGGGAUUUUCGGCAAUGGGCGAAAGCCUGACCGAGCGACGCCGCGUGAGCGAAGAAGGCCUUCGGGUCGUAAAGCUCUGUCUAGGGGGAAGAGGAAGGACGGUACCUCUGGAGGAAGCCACGGCUAACUACGUGCCAGCAGCCGCGGUAAUACGUAGGUGGCGAGCGUUGUCCGGAAUUACUGGGCGUAAAGGGCGCGCAGGCGGCGCGUUAAGUCCGGGGUGAAAUCCAUCGGCUCAACCGGUGGGGGACCUUGGAUACUGGCGCACUGGAGUGCGGGAGAGGGAAGCGGAAUUCCACGUGUAACGGUGAAAUGUAUAGAUAUGUGGAGGAACACCGGUGGCGAAGGCGGCUUCCUGGACCGUAACUGACGCUGAGGCGCGAAAGCUGGGGGAGCGAACAGG